GGGGUCGUUUUUGGAAUUCGACAGGCUGUUUAGGGCAUGGACUGCGCUUCGCCAUCCGGGCGUUAAAACGGGCAGACAUUUUAACUGCAAAAAACGAAAACUCUUUCGCAAUCGCUGCCUAAAAACCAGUGAUGCGUAACUUAAUCUUGGUAGCUGGCGUCUGAGAUUAGGUCAUAAAAAGUCAGAUCGCGUCGUUGCUUAGAUUCGGAACAGCGGCGUUAAAUGAAUCGAGUUAGUGAUUGAUGUUAGCCUCGUGUUGUGGCGGAAUUAAUCAUGAAACUUAAGUGACAACACUAUAAGCGUAGAGGUUCAUGUACCGGGCAGUUUGGACAGGGGUUCGACUCCCCUCGGCUCCACUA
rfam:Leuconostoc lactis strain WIKIM21 contig00026, whole genome shotgun sequence.